rnacentral:lncRNA from 1 species
UCUUUUUUACUUAACCAAGAUUUUAGAGAGAGUUUAGAGAGAGAAAGCUUGAAGAGAGAGAGAGAGUAUUGGGAAGAGACUGAAAGGCCUUAAUCUUCACACGUAAAUCUCUUUCUUUUCUCCUUGGUUUUUGUUUUACACUACAACUUCAAAAGGGCUCAUACUUAAGCUUUUUAUUCACUUAAAUUUUGAACUUUAAUUUAUUUGCUAUUUGAUAUGAAUACGAACAUGUGAAAUAAGAUGCAUGAUUAACUUAUCGCAUGAUGAUUUGAAGUGUGUGGUUUUAGCCCUUUGCCUUGCCUUUAGUAAUGGUGGGGGGGGGGGGUCAUUCUAUUGGGAAUUGGCUCGAGAGGAUGACCCAAUGGCCAAGUUCAAAUAAAAUGGGCCUUUGUGCUGGAAUAUGUAAUUAAACCCCCACUGAGUCCUAAAUAUGUGAUUAUUAUAAAUGAAAAUUAAUAAAGAAAUAGGAAAGAAUCGAAAAUCUAUUUGAUUGUUAUCUUUGAGGGGUUUCUGUUUCUGUAUCUAAAUAUGUUAGUGAAGCACUCCUCAUGAAUGAGACUUACGCUCCCUCUAACGAGAAUUGAUUCACGAUUUGAUAUGUGGGCGCCACAGCAGUGAAGUAUGAUCCUGUUCAAUAGUCAUCUGAUUUGUAGUGGCCAUAAUGGCGAAGUACGACUGUGGUCAUUAGUUUAUAUCUAAAAUAACUAGUAUGUAAAUGAAUAUGUCGCCAUUCACAGUGGUAGUUUAGGGAUCCCUUCUGCCCUUAGUUGAUAUAAAUUAGAAUGGUUUUGCACAAAGAUCUGUAAAAGAUGUAAAUAAAACCUAACCAUUUGAUAACAUAGCUAGAAUAGUUGUUUGAUAGUACUUACUAUAAUAGUUUCAUAUGAUAUGUUAUUUUCUAUUUUAUCAUAAUCUUGUUAUGCUUUUAGUUGGUUCAACUAGUUUCAAGUACACUACUUGAUUAAGUCUUGACUAUCUUAUUUUCUGCUCUAUCUUUACGUCCUAUUAUGAUAUCAAUGUUUAAAAAUGGAUUUUAAAAGAAAGAUAAAAGUCUUCUUAAUAUUUUGAAUAAAUCUACUUCACAACAAGUCGUAAAGGUAAGUCACUCAUUUAGGUAAUGUCAUUUUAUUUUAAAGUUUAAUCACAUUUGUAAACCUUAGUAAUGUAGUUUAAAUACUAUUUUUCUUACUGAAUUUUGUGGAACUCACCUUAAUCCAUGCUCUCCUCAGAUGAUGGAAGUGAUGAUUCGCUCGCUGAGUUACCCAUUAAAGCUUCUUUGGAUCCAUUCACAAAUCAUUGGGAAGAUUUUGAGUGGUUUAUCUAUCCACACUCGGAUGAAACCAACUUGUAAUAGAAGAAGUGGCUCUCUAUAACUUUUUAUAUAUUUAUUUCGGUAGCCAUCUU